rnacentral:rRNA from 1 species
UACAGAGGUCCCAAGCGUUGUUCGGAUUCACUGGGCGUAAAGGGUGCGUAGGUGGCGUGGUAAGUUUGAUGUGAAAGCUCAGGGCUUAACCCUGAAAUGGCAUUGAAUACUACUGUGCUGGAGGUUUGGAGGGGGGACUGGAAUUCUUGAUGUAGCAGUGAAAUGCGUAGAUAUCAAGAGGAACACCAGUGGCGAAGGCGAGUCCCUGGACAACACCUGACACUGAGGCACGAAAGCUAGGGGGAGCAAACAGG